rnacentral:rRNA from 1 species
AUUGAACGCUGGCGGCAGGCCUAACACAUGCAAGUCGAACGAGUGGCGGACGGGUGAGUAAUGUCUGGGAAACUGCCUGAUGGAGGGGGAUAACUACUGGAAACGGUAGCUAAUACCGCAUACCAUCAGAUGUGCCCAGAUGGGAUUAGUUUGUUGGUGGGGUAACGGCUCACCAAGGCGACGAUCCCUAGCUGGUCUGAGCGGAUGACCUGCCACCCUGGAAAUGAGACACGGUCGAGACUCCUACGGGAGGAAGAAGUGGGGCAUAUUGCACAAUGUUCGCAAGCCCGAUGCAGCCGUGCCGCGUGUAUGAAGAAGGCGUUCGGGUUGUAAAGUACUUUCAGCGGGGAGGCGUUACCCGCAGCAGAAGCAGCGGCUAACUCCGUGCCAGCAGCCCCGGUAAUAC